rnacentral:lncRNA from 1 species
AGAACCGCCUUCACCUAGCCCUAGAGCAUCAGGUACUAAGUUAGUGUGAGGACAUUUUAAAGCGGGAGGGAAACUCAAGGGACUUAGCCCAUACUCCCAAAUUCAGAAAUUUGUCACGUCACUUGAGAUCAGAAUGAAAUUUAAGUUUCAGUCCCUUUGAGAUCUCUGAGCGCACAAAGUCAGGCUGCUAUCACUCGGCUGGGGAGUCCGAACCCGGCUGGAUAAAAACUACUUGGUGCGGAACUCGCAUCUUUUCCGCCCACCGUGGGGGGGCCGCACCGGUCGGGUCCGGCCAGGAACCCGGGCGCGAGUUUGGGGGCGCAGCGGGGGCGGCGAGCGCGCGUCCCCCCGCCCGCUCAGGCAGCGUAGAGGUGCGAGCAGCUCAGCCAGCCUUGCAGAGGGAGCUCUCGGCAGCUCUGGGGUCCCUCUGCUCGCAGCCGCUGCAGCGCCGCCUGCGCCACUCGGCGGAGACGGAGACCAGCGGCGGCGACGCGCGGACUGGGAGCGACCGCCGAGCAGCCAAGCAGCUGGGAAGGCACGCAGGCCGGCAGGCUUGGAAUACAUGAGGAAGAAGAGUGGGAGACAGGAGGAAAGGUAAGGUUGGGAGAGGGCAAGAGGAAAGGAGGAGAGUAGAGGGAACACUCCAUCGAUUGCCAGCACAAUAAACUGUAUCAUGGACUACUUCAGCCUGGCCCCUGCUUUGCAGUGUGCGUGGAGCAGUUUCCUCUGGGCAGAGUCUCAGAGAUGAUGGCCAAGGCGACUGUGGCCUCAAUGGACUUAACUGAUAGGGCACUUCUCAGUGUGUCACAGGCCUUGGAGGCCCACUUCCAUCUGUCCCCUCAGAGGCUGGGCAGACGCUUUCCCUGCCCUGAUACCUUUGACUCAUGAUGGUAUCGUCAACUGCCCAUCACCUGAGGCAAGGGGCUCCCAACUGUCCUCAGUCCCAAACAGCAGGAACACCUGCCUCCCUGACCCACAUGACAGCAGGGUAGGGGGUGGGAGAAUGCUAUGGGCAGGUUUGCCCUGUGGGAGGCCCCUGUGAGGCAGAGGGGGUCAGGAGAGAUACAGAGGUGGGAGGACAAGGGUUCUCUCUGCCCCUCCACCAUCUCAGGAACCUGGGCAUGGGCCUGGGUGUAGGAGGCCAUCCAGCCUGCCUUCAAGCCACUGAUGGAGAGAGGCUGACUGGCUGUCCUGGGGUUGAUUCAUGCUGCUCUGAGCCAGAUAGGCAUCAUGUGCUUCACCUGGCUGUGCUCACAGUGCCCUCAUUCCAGCUCCUGUCCCCUUCCGAUCCUCACACCCACCCCUGGCUAGAGCUGAAUACUAGGCUCUGGCCUCAGGACUCUGCAGAGCACAGAGUCUAGGGUCUGUCCCUUCCCAGCAUUGGAGAGCAGGGAUUCUUAGUGACAACGCCAGUGGACCCCUUGGCUGGGAUGAUGACAUUUUUCCAUCCUCCAUUUCUUGCCCAAGCCCUGCUCUCUCCUGUGUACUGAGCUGUGAGCUCAUGCAGGCUCAGUCACCCCCAUCUGCACUUUCCCAGGACCUGGUCAACCAGUGUUCACUUCCUCUUCCCCCACCAUGACAGGCUAUGCUUUUGAUGCAGGUGGAUAGCCCUGCUCUACCAAUGGGCCUCUUGUGGGGGCCUCAGGACUGAGGGCUGCUAGGGGCGGUUCUGGGAUUGCCGGCCUCCUCCAGGGACCCCUGGGGCAGGCCCCAGCUGUGGCCAGCCUUGGGUGCUGGCCUGGUCUCCAUCAUUUGUUUGCCUCCUCUGCCCCAUGCUGCUCCAGCUCACCACCCCAAAUACUGAGCUGCACCAUCCCGUGCCACCCUUCGUUACCCAGAGAGCAAAGAGCCGCGCCAGUGUGCAGAGGGCUGCCUGCCUGCCCCUGCCCACCCUCGCCCCAGCGUCUGGAAUGAGCCACUUGCAUCCACACAGGUGCUUCCUGUGCUUCUUCCUGUUGCCGUUUUUUCUGCUCAGCUUGGCUUCCCCAGCAGGUGGUUAAAGCCCCAGCCAAACCUCUUCAUACCUAGCUCUAAAACACUGGGGGGCAGGGCUCCCUGGGGAUCUGGGUCACCCUCCAGAGGACUGUUGGCACUUCACUGGCUCUUCCUGAGGGCAGGCUCCCCAACGUGACACGUCCUGCACAGGCCAAGCUGCUGCCACAGGUACUGGGACAUCAGAGUGGCCUCAAUGAGUCAGGGAAGUGCUGCGUAUGCACCACCUCCUUGCCCCUGGAUACUGGAAGUGCUGAGGGAGAGGGGAAGGGUGGAGAGCCUGUUUCUCUAGCCACGGGUGUGGGCCUCCCUCAGCCCCUCCUUAGAACAGGCCUGCCAUCCUGAAGUCCCACCCCACACUCCAGUUCCUCACGCAGGACUCAGCCUUCUGGGGUUAACACAUUCACUGGCCAGGCAGCUCUGGGGCAAGGCGAGGCGGGGCAAAGGCAAGCCCUCUCCUGGGAUCUCUGCUUCCUGAAGCAGCACAGGUUGGCCGGCUGUUGGGGAUCACAGAGUUCAGGCACGUUUGUUAUUAUAGAGGGGGAGACAGCUGGAGAGGGAAGGGACUUGCUGUCUUGGGUCACAGGUUAGCCAUCCAGGUCUCCUGCCUCCCAGGUCCCAGCUCUUCCCCUCCGCAAGGAGCUCCUCUCCCCUGCCAUCCAGCUUCAAGGAGCUCCUUCAGCCCCCUCUGCAGAAAGCUGCCCAGGCUGCAGAAGACCCAAACCUGGCAUCUGCUGACGCGGAUCUGCUGCCCCCUGGUGGGCAGAAGCUCCAGCCACCCCGUGCCUCCUUUCCCUUCCUGUUUUUCCUUUCCCUUCCCCUUUGCUCCCAGGCCACAGCCUGGGAUUGGCACCCUUUGGUGUUUUCUGGGCCAACUCCAGUUUAGCUCCACCUUGGGCCGUAGUUCCCAGGCCCAGGGUAGGCCCCACCUGCAGGCUGAACCACCCUUUUCCCCUGCUCUCUUCUCCAAGCCCAGUUCCAGCCUCUGGGCUUUCUUCCACCUGAAUUUCCAGGGCAAGUGCACAUGGCACUGUCACAGCUGCAGUGUGAACACACCAGUGUCAGGCAGGGCCACAGCCAGAGGGUGUUGGAGCAGAGGGUCAGGAGUGUACCAGGCCAUGUAGGAAAGACAUUUUGCUUUUUUAUUUUCUGUAAAACUCUGUAAAUAAAAUACAAAACCAAGGGAUGUGGCUGGGCAGCGGCAGGGUGGCCAAGCCCCAGACACUGAUUUGUGGCAAGGGAUGUGCUGAGCCGAGGCUGGGAGGCACUUGACUGCAGGCACUGACUCUCCAACCCCAGGGGCAACAGAAGAAUAUAUUAGAUUUUCAUUGCUAGGAAUCUGUGGGGGAGGGGUAUCUGGAGCCAGCCCUUACCCUCCCUGCCAGUGCCUGGUGAGCCCUGAAAGUGGGGGGAAAGGGGCACCAGGAACCCAUGGGUGAAUAGUUUAGAAUGCUGUGCUGGCCAUGCUGCCAGGCCCAAAGAUGCGGGGCAGGGCGUCCAGGGACUCCUCCAGCCGUCGAUGGGCAGACUGUCCCUCUUCUCCUGUAAUGAGUGAGGAUGAGGUCAAGGGUGGCCCUAGCCCCAUCCCACUCUCCCACCCCUGGCGCCAUCUCUCCUACUCCCAUCAGCCAAGAUGUCCCAGAACUCCACCCAUCUCUUCCAUCCCCCAGCCUCACCACACUGCUGUAGGCUUUGCCGGGCAGCUUCCCUCACAGCUUCUGUGUCAGUUUGGCAGAGGUACACCAGGGGCUCAAUGCCCUCGGGAGCCUGUCAGGGGAGGGAGCAUUGAGGUGGGCUCAGGGGAGCAGAUGGGAGGGUUUCAGGGGUGGGGGUGCCGGAAGCGGACAGAGGGGUGGGAGGGUUGGCAGGGGUCACCUUGAUGCAGCCUAGGGCCAGGCAGCCAGCCACUCGAGUCUGCACGUCCUCAUCCUCCAGCUGGUCCAGGAAGCACAGGAGGGCCUGUGGAAGGGUGGGAGGACAGACUUAGCCAGACAGUGGGAGUCCAGGACCCCAGCCCUCGCCCUCAAGGGAGCCCUGUCCAACUCACCCUCUCCCGGAAGGUAGGGCCCAGUGACAGGCUCCGGAGCUGGGUGCUGACAGCAGCCAUGACCUUGUUGUUGCCAUGGACGAGCAGGGAGCUGAGGGCCCGCAGCCCGUCCCUUCGCAGACGCCCCUCGGGCGCCAAUCUCAGGGCCUUCAGCACAACAGCCUGAUCAUCCGAGUUCAGAUUCCGCACCAGUAGCACUGAAAAAAGGGGAUAUGGUGGGUGGGUGGGCAAGGUGGCAGGGUGAGGAGCCCCCGAGGUUGGGGAGGGCUUGUCCUCAUGUCCUCAGACCCCAAGAGGCCACUAUGUGAUCAGGGCCACCGCCUCACCCUCCUCAGCGGUCUCAGUCACGUAGGCCUCCAUGGUGGGGCUGUCCAAGGUUUCCACAAAACUCCAGAACUGGAAGACUGUGAGCUGCUCUCCAGGCCCUGGCUGGGGCCUUCUGGGCAGCUUCUGCCCCAGGGCAUCCUCCAGGAACUUCACACACACUGCAGGAGGCAGUAGCAUGGGCCUCAGAGUUUGGGUGAACACAGCUUUUAGAGGGGAGAGAUGCUCCUAUCCCAGGCUCAGGUCCAGGGGCCCCCUGUUCAAACCCCACCCAUCUGGGUCCUUCUGCUCUAAGGCCCAAGUCUUUGCUGGUCUCCUCGGUGCCCAGUUCGUUUAUCUGUGUGGGCUGACCUGGCUUCCCCGAGCUUCCUGUCACUGGGAAUCUGAGCAAGGGUGGAAGGAGGAAGCAGCCCACUCACCAGCCUCAGCCAAGCCUGGCUGGCGCAGGGAGAGGCGGGCACCAUACUGGUUGCAGAAGGUGAGAAGCACCCGCUCCACCGGGCAGAGGAAGCAGCUGAGUCUCUCUGUGCACUGGUCCCAGAAGGUCAGGAAGCCAGGCCGAGAGGCCGAGAACUGCACCACUGUGAGGGGGUGAGGGAAACCGUCAGCAACAGGCAGGCAGGUGAGUAGAGAGCAUGCAGAUGGCAGUAGGCUGAGGUAGGAGCUUCAAGGCAGAUGGCAGAGCCCGAACCCCCAGGGCCUUUACCUUCCUGGGCAGAGCUGGCCGGGAUCUCCCACCGCCUGCUGAACUCGCAUACUGCCUCCAGUACUCGGGCUUCCCGCAGCAGCCGCUCCAGGGCCCAUGCCUCCUGGCAGCGCAGGGGCCCAAAUGUGCCCAGUUUCUGGAGAACAUGGGUGGCCAAGUAGCUCAGGCCUCAGGGUAGGGCUCGGGAGGAUCGUGCUCAGGGACAAGUCCCAGCAUGCACUGGGGGAGGUUGGGGUUGCAGAGUUGGGAGAUACUCCAUUCAGCAAGGGCCAGAUGCCAAGGGCCCUGGGGCACUGGGGUGUGGCACUCAGAGGAGGUAUAGAGGACCAGGAUGGAAGGGCAGGACUCCCUGGGGUUAGGGGUUACAAAGGAAGGGUGGGGGAACACCAUCAGCCUCACCAGCAGGAGGCGACUGCAGUGGUACAGGUGCCGGACCAAGGCAGCAUCCAGAGCUGGACACCCCGUGCUGAGGGGGCGGGCACUGGGUGAGUCUAUGCUGUCCUCAGCCCCAGCCUCCGGGCUGCUUGGAGGCCUGAGGGAAAAAUGGGGUCCACCACCCCACAGGCACACAUCACCACCUGGUCACCAGCGUUUAUUUUUAUUAAGCUUCCCCCAUGCCAGAAAGGAAGAAGAUGAUGCACCGACAGCAGACAGUGGGGUAAGUUCAUGGAGGAUUUCCAGAAGGAGGAAGGGGCUGGGACCAGCAGGUGGUAGUAGGGAUCUCUGGAGUCAGUCUGCGCCAUGCUACCUCCAGCUGGGACCACUGGGGAUGGCAUGGGUAGGAGUAGGCUGCAGGCGGGAUGGUUUAUGACAAGUGGACUGCAAAGGGUGCAGGGCAUGGGGCUGUAGCCUGGGCAGCAGCAGAGGAAGGAGGGACCUGGCACAACUCUCAACUGGGAACCAGCAAAGGCCACUCCAGGACUGACAGUUGAGGGGCCAGGGCCUCUGGGAGAGUCGGGGUUGAGAAGGAGUGGGGCAGUGCUGGGGUCCCAGGGUGCACGGCGAGACACUGAGAGAGCUCCUUAAAGGGCAGGUCCAAGGUGAGGCCAAGGGGAAGAGGAGGGGCUGGAGGCACCCAAGCUGAUGGGGACCGGCAGGGGAGGCAGACAUUGCAGAGAUGAAGAGGGCGGUCAGAAGCACUGGGGACACACGUAGGGUUGGAGACAUGGGCAUGAAGGACAUGGGAGGGGUGGACACAGGUGCACCUGCCAGCAACUCAGUCCUCACAUGCUCCACCUGGCCCUGCCUCACCUGUCCUGUCCUUUGACUUUCUCCCAAUUCACCUGUUCCACCUUCCCCUGGUCCUGCCUCACCUUUUCCCUCUCACCUAGCCUCACACCCAUCUUGCCUAGCCCCCUCACCUGUCCCCAGGAACAUCAUUGUCUUCAUCUUCGUCUUCAUUGAGGAAGCUGAAGCUCUCCAAGGCAUGCUCCACAGUGAUGCUGAGACUGGAGGCCCGGCUGCGAGUCAGACCUUGUCUCUGCUGAGGUUGUGAAGGGCAUCAGAGCGGCUGCCGCCCCCUGGCUGCCCUCCCUGGUUGCCCUAGCCCAGCCCAGCCCUCCUCACCAUGAGCAGACUUUCUAGGCGGGUCACCUCCUGCUCCAGGCCCUGCAGCUCAGGAAACUGGCCACGGUAGUCAUCCAGGGCAGCCAUUAGGGCCCCCAGUGCCUCCUCCAGGCUCCUGUCCCCAGACCCUCCGGCUGCCGUUGGGACUGGGGUCUGGACAGCCAUGGCCAGGCAAAGGUCUGAAUGCUGGGGUGCAGGGGUUGGGGGUGAGGGAGUGGGGCUUAGACUCUGAACCGUAGACUCUGAGGGAUCUGGGGCAGGGCUUGUGAGGGGUUUCCUACUGGAAUGGGCAGGACUUGGGUGGGGAGUUCUGGGGGCCAUAGGGUCUGCCUGAGUGUAGGAAUUGGAGACUGGGGGACUACAGGGAAGGGAGUCAGUGCCUGGGAGGGUGGGGUCUGAGUGUUUGGAGGGGCUGGAGAGGGUAGCAAGUUCUAGAGAAGUGGAAGGGCUUACAUUUAUAAGGAUGGGGCUUGUGGUGGGAUGGGUGGGGCUUGUGGUAGGAUGGGUGGGACUUGUGGCAGUCUGGACUAGGCCCAUACCACUGGGGGUAGGACUUGUAGUGGUGGGAGGUGACAUACUGGUUUUGUGGGUGGGACUUGUGGGGGUAUGGGUGGGGCUUGUGGAAGUAUGAGUGGGGCUUGCUGUGGUAUGGGUAGGGCUUGGCAUAGUGUGGGUGGGGCUUGUGGUAGUCUGGACUGGGCCUAUGAUAUUGAGGGUAGGGCCUGUAGUAGUAAGGGUAGAGAUUAUGGGCUUGUGGGUGGAGCCUGUAGUAGUGUGAGUGAGGGGGCUUGGAGCACUGUGGGUAGUGGUAAUGGCACUAUAGGUAGAGCCUGUAGUGGUGUGAGUGGGGCCUGGCAGUUCUGAAGGGCCAGAGUCUGUGGACUUAUGAACUGAGUCUAGGUGUGCAGAUGGGGCAGGGUCUGUAGAUGUGGGGACAGAGCCUGUUGUACCGAGGGUAGAGCUUGUGGCAGAGUGGCCAGGGUCCAGGGCAGGAGGAACAGGACUGGGGUGCUCUCCAUGGGUGGGAGCUGGGUGUGUAGGUGGGCUAGGUCCCCAGGCUAGGCUUUCUGGGCCAACGGCCUCCACUGAAGCCUCAGCCAAGGCAGCAUCUACACUAGCCUCACUGAUGUGGCUCAGAGUCCGACUGUAGGGUGCAUGCCCAUUUGCCAGGACUGGGGCCACGGCCCCCUCCUCAUCCAAGGGCCCAGAGCUGGGGGUCUCAGGCCUGCGGAAGGCAACUUGGAUGGGAAGGGGCUCGGGCUGCUGCACCAGGGGCCUAGGGGCUGGUGAGUGGCGGGCAGUGCCUGAGAGCUGUGGGCUGGAUGAGUCGUCUGAAGAUUCAGAUGACAGGGACCAUGCUGUCCCAUUCUCCAGCUCCUCCUGCCGUCGCAGCAUGUUCUGAGAAAGAGGAGAGGGCAUUUCAGAACCACCCCCAGGGAGCCUCUGGGGGAUGGUGAGGCCUGGACCUGGGCUAUGACUCACAUAGAAAGCCUGUUCCCGAAGUGAGGGUGUGUCCGGUGGGCUCUGGCUAUAGGUGGAGAAGCGCUUGGUGACUGUGGAGGCCUUGUUGACAGAAGAAGCAGCUGAGGGCUGGUCAUCCUUGUCGAAGGGGCUGGGAAGGGAAGAGGCUGUUGGCAGGUGCCACAGCCCUCCUGGCCCUCCUCCAAGCCUCUCAGCCCCACCAACCUCCAUGUGACUUCCAGGCUGAGCUUGAUGGUACCAAGGUCAUUGAUAUCCACAGCCACAACCUGGGGCAGGGCGGCAAACAGGUCCUUGGUCUCACAGGAGACACUGCCCACAACCACAUGGUUGGCCAGGCCCUUCAGUUCUGUCACCUGUAGCCAAGAGUGCAUGGUAGGGUCACAAGGGUGCAGGGGCUAUGAGAUCAUGGGAAAUCUGAGGUCUGAAUUUGCAUAGAACUUAUAAAAUGGUCAUGGGAGGCUGAGGCAGGAGGAUCACUUAAGGCCAGGAGUUCAAGACCAGCUUGGGCAACAUGGCAAGACUCUGUCUCAAAAAAAAAAAAAAAAAAAAUUUUUAGCCAGGCAUGGUGGUGCACCUGUAGUCCCAGCUACUUGGGAGGCUGAAGUGGGAGGAUGGGUUGAGCCCAGGAGUUUGAGACUGCAGUGAGGUAUGAUUGCACUGCUGCACUCCAACCUGGGUGACAGAGUGAGACCCGCCAACUCCUAGAUAGAUAGACAGACACAUGCAUGCUCAUGGAGCCAUGGAUGCUUGAAGCAGCCUGGGAGCAUGGGAAUCACAGAGGUCUGCAUGGUAGGGUCACUGAGGUCAUAGAGGUCACAGCCUCAUGGGAGCUUAGGAGGUCAAAUAUUCACAGGGUCAGAAGAUCAUGAGGAGGUCACAGGGUCAGGAAGCCAUGAUGUCCUAAGAGUCACAAAGAUUGUUCCUCUCAGGGCCACAGAGAUCAUGAAGGUCAUGGAAUCAUAUCUUCACAGGGCUAUGGAGCUAUGAGGGGAUCACAGGAGUAAGGGACUCAGGGUAAUGGGGGUCACAAGGGGUUCACAGGGCCAUGGUGGCCUGCCGUCCUGGGCAGAGACAUCACCUUAAUAGACAGAAAUUCCGUGAGUAGAGGGAGAAAGAUGGUUUCUUCACUGUCCCACACCUGCUUUCCACUACCCUCAAUUCGGCCCCGUAGUUUCCAGCGCUGACGCCCAUAUUUCAUGCAGAUCUGGGGGAACAGGUAGGAUGAGGCAGCCUAGGUGUUGGGACCCUACCGACCCAGCCCUUCCCUGCACAUUCUCAUACCUCAUACUGAUCGCCUACACACAGCCUGGCGAAGCCAGCCAGCCCUGAGUUGGAGGAGAAGGGGAGAAGUCGGUGAGCCAUAUUGGGGUUCUUCAGCAUACUCCCUCCAGCCCCCCACCUGCCCCCACAACUCAGUACCUUUCAUUCGGAGAUGAAACUCGCCCAGCUGUGCCUCCAGCUCGCUCUCCAGCAGACACAUGCUCUGGGAGGGAGGGGCAGGGACAGGAGGGGGUCAAGGGCCAGCCACUAGCCCUGCCACACCCUGUGCCUCUGCCUCAUGGGCCCCCAUCCCUCACCUCCGUGUACUCGCGAUGCCCCCGAGUGGCCUCUGCCAGGCUGUCCCGGGCCUCUCGGCUUCCCGGGGACCCAGUGGUGUAGGCACGGACCAUGUUGUAGGCACCAUCCCGGAGACGCCGCUGGACACAGUAUGCCUCAUACAGCUCAUCGAUCUGGGAAGGUGAGUGGGGUGACAGUAGGGGGACUGAGACUCACCUCUGGGGUUACUCACCUCUAAGGUUGCUCACCCAGGGCCUGGCACCACCCCUCUUCUCCCUAUGAUAUCCAACCCCCCACCCCACUCUGCACACAUGCUGCACUCGUACCUUGCUGGCAUGGAACUCCAGUCGUCGCAGGAAGCGUUCAAUGGACUUGACUUGCUGGGGGAGAGGUGGGUCAGGAGGGGCCUGAGGCCCAGGGUCCUUACCCUCCCUGUGAGCCAACCCCUUCCAGUACCAUUCCAUGCAUACUCACCUUGUCCAGAUCAUACAGGAAGCCCUGCAGGGGUGGGGAGAAGGGGCAAAUAUUUAGGAGGGAUGAGGAGGACUCCAGCAGAGGCACUCAGACUCGUCACAGCUCCCCUUUCUCACACCACAGUCCACAAGCACUCCUGUCACAGUAGCAACUGACGCCCCUUCCUGCUGGUCUAGCCCUUGGUGGAUGCUGGUAGCACAGAUCUGGUCCCUUCAGCCCCCUCCAGGACCCCUCCUUCCACCUCUUCCCUGGGAUUCCUUUUCCUGCAGCCGCCUGGGGAGAGCUCUCUGCUUCCUUGUGCAAGGUUCCCUCUGCAGGGGAACUCCCAUCAAGCCCCGGCAGAAGUGUUCCCUCCUCCAGGAAGCCCUAACCUCUUCCCAAGAAGCACCAUGCAGCAGUACCACUGCUCAGUACCACUGCAGCAGAAUCUCCUGCUGUCCAUGUCUGUAGGGGUCCCACCUACCCCACUGGAAGCUCCUGGAGCAGGUACUGAGUCCCAAGCAGAAAGUAUGCACAGCAAAGUUUGGGGAUAGAAAAGCCCCUCAGCCUUUCCUGAUAUCCCCUUUUCUACUCACACCUGAACCAGAUCACUUCAGAAAAUAGCCCAGAUAUCACCCAGGGCUGCCCUUGCCCAGCCCUCCACACCAAAGAGGCAAAGGGCAUCCGUACCUCCCGCCACUCACCAAGCGGGAAUUCCUCUUGGACUCCCUUAUCUGCCCCUGGAGUUUCUCUUGCUCCUGCUGGUGCACUUCCAAGUAGGCCCUGAGGAAAGGGGCGACCACAAGAAUGAACUCGGCUCUCCAGCCUCAUGCUGCCCAGGGUGCAGACAGCAGGGAGAGGGCAUGGGGCUGGAGAAGGUUCCUGCUAGCAGGAUGCGGGCUUGGGGAGGGAUCCCGGGACAGGGCUGGGAACAGAGGAGCUGCUCACGUCAGGCCCCGCUUCAGCGCCGUGUACACCAGGUCCAGCCGCUCGGGCUGCGGCACCUUGGCGGCUGGGUGAGCCACGGAAAACAUCCUGGACACUCGGGAGAGCGCGGGGGGCUUCCGUGGGGGCCCCGGCGGGCUGAAGACCGGGAAACUCCUGAAGGAGAGGCUGUCCUCAGAAAGAGGAGAGCAGGAGUCCCCCAGACUCUCACUACGCACCCCCAGACCCAGCCCCAUCUGACGCCCUUUGACCCCACCAACCCUGCGCGGCCGCGUACCUGGGCCCCCGCUCGUGGCUGCCGAGGACGCCUGCGAAGGACUGGCUCCUAUUGACCCGGGCGCUGAGCAGACGGCGCUGCGGCCGCACCGACAGGGACAUCAUAGAGUGAGUCCGCGCGGGGCUCCCUGCGGGUGAUCGGGGGGGUGUCCAGUACCAGUCGGAUCCCCGAAGCCCUCUCCCACGCAGCGGGAUCCAGGGCUGGCGCAGGUCUUUCCUGUCGCUAGGCACAGCUGCCCCAGCGGGCUCCGGCCGGGUCCGCCUAGUCCCGCCGACCCGGGCACUAAUGACAGGACAGCCGCAGGCGACUCGGCCUCGGACUCAGCGUGGCCUCGGCUCGGCCCCCACUUCCUGCCGAGGUGCGGGCUCCGCCUGCCGCGGGGCAGGAAGGGGGGUCGCGCGGGGACCCUCCUCC